GCCCUCCUUGCGCGGCCGCCUCGCCGUCACUUCCUUGCGCCACCGUCUCGCCGUUACCCUCGGGCGCCGCCCCCUCCUCCGUCGCGCGGCCGCGCCACCUUCCCUUUGCCGGCAGGUCCUGCUCCUCCCGCGACAAGGUGCUCCGGCGGCAACGCCGGCAAGGUGCUCCGAUCCUGCUGGUCCCCUCCUCGUAUGCAACAACAACAACAGCAACCAGUGUGCUAUAAAACUUGAGGCAUGUCUACGUCAGAGGGUUCGGAGACUGCUGAUUCCAUGGAUGAGGAUACGAGUCAAAUACCACAUGUUAGAAGGUCCAAGGUAUGGGAGCAUUAUGAAGUAGAUUUGGUUCUCGUAGAUGGUGAUUUCAAGGCUGUGUGCAAAUACUGUGGAGCGCAACUUCACACCAAGUUUGGGACUAGCAGUUUGAGGACCCAUAUUGCAGAGGCUUGCCGAUCAAUCCAAGAUGCUUGCAGACAGAGGUUUUUGUUGACCAUGAAAAAAAACCAUCCGAAGGACUGUUUGUGUUUGAUGAGAAAGUUUGUCGUGAACGCAUGGUCAAGUAUUGCGUCCAUGCUGAGAUCCCCUUUCUUAAGUUUGAAGAUCCCCACCUUCAACCAUGGAUUGACUCA